UGUACAAAAGCUAAUCAGUUAGUAUCUCAGUCAGAUAGUCAAACAGCAAAUAGAGAAACCAAACAACAACUCAAUAGACAAUGCUCAAGCAAUCAAGUGAGGCAAUGAGCAUCAAUUAGAACCUACAAAACAGCAAGAGUUAGUGAUCAAAGCAAAUGGCAUCUCAUGUAAUGAGAUCACCAAUCAUUAGUGCUAAAUAC
rnacentral:lncRNA from 1 species